UACGUAGGGGGCAAGCGUUGUCCGGAUUUAUUGGGCGUAAAGAGCGUGUAGGCGGUUGGUCAAGUCUGGUGUGAAAGCCCGGGGCUUAACCCCGGAAGUGCAUUGGAAACUAGCCAGCUAGAGCGCGAGAGAGGAGGGUGGAAUUCCUGGUGUAGCGGUGAAAUGCGUAGAUAUCAGGAGGAACACCGGCGGCGAAGGCGGCCCUCUGGCUCGUUGCUGACGCUGAAACGCGAAAGCGUGGGGAGCAAACAGG
rnacentral:rRNA from 1 species